GUGCUCGCUUCGGCAGCACAUGCUAAAAUUGAAAGGAUACAGAGAAGAUUAGCAUGGCUAAGGAACACAUGCAAAUUUGUGAAGCAUUCCAAAAUAAA
rnacentral:snRNA from 1 species